rnacentral:rRNA from 1 species
AGUGAACGCUGGCGGUAGACCUAACACAUGCAAGUCGAACGGCAGCACAGUAAGAGCUUGCUCUUACGGGUGGCGAGUGGCGGACGGGUGAGGAAUACAUCGGAAUCUACUUUUUCGUGGGGGAUAACGUAGGGAAACUUACGCUAAUACCGCAUACGACCUACGGGUGAGAGCAGGGGAUCUUCGGACCUUGCGCGAUUGAAUGAGCCGAUGUCGGAUUAGCUAGUUGGCGGGGUAAAGGCCCACCAAGGCGACGAUCCGUAGCUGGUCUGAGAGGAUGAUCAGCCACACUGGAACUGAGACACGGUCCAGACUCCGACGGGAGGCAGCAGUGGGGAAUAUUGGACAAAGGGCGCAAGCCUGAUCCAGCCAUACCGCGUGGGUGAAGAAGGCCUUCGGGUUGUAAAGCCCUUUUGUUGGGAAAGAAAAGCAGCAGGUUAAUACCCCGCUGUUCUGACGGUACCCAAAGAAUAAGCACCGGCUAACUUCGUG